rnacentral:rRNA from 1 species
UAGGGAAUCUUCCACAAUGGACGCAAGUCUGAUGGAGCAACGCCGCGUGAGUGAAGAAGGUUUUCGGACCGUAAAGCUCUGUUGUUGGUGAAGAAGGAUAGAGGUAGUAACUGGCCUUUAUUUGACGGUAAUCAACCAGAAAGUCACGGCUAACUACGUGCCAGCAGCCGCGGUAAUACGUAGGUGGCAAGCGUUGUCCGGAUUUAUUGGGCGUAAAGCGAGCGCAGGCGGAAGAAUAAGUCUGAUGUGAAAGCCCUCGGCUUAACCGAGGAAUUGCAUCGGAAACUGUUUUCUUGAGUGCAGAAGAGGAGAGUAGAACUCCAUGUGUAGCGGUGGAAUGCGUAGAUAUAUGGAAGAAUACCAGUGGCGAAGGCGGCUCUCUGGUCUGCAACUGACGCUGAGGCUCGAAAGCAUGGGUAGCGAACAGGAUUAGAUACCCUGGUAGUUCAUGCCGUAAACGAUGAGUGCUAAGUGUUGGGAGGCUUCCGCCUCUCAGUGCUGCAGCUAACGCAUUAAGCACUCCGCCUGGGGGAGUACGACCGCAAGGUU